GGUCAGGAUGAACGCUAGCUACAGGCUUAACACAUGCAAGUCGAGGGGCAGCAUUGGAGUAGCAAUACUCAGAUGGCGACCGGCGCACGGGUGAGUAACACGUAUCCAACCUGCCGCUUACUCGGGGAUAGCCUUUCGAAAGAAAGAUUAAUACCCGAUGGUAUAAAGAGUUCGCAUGUUCUCUUUAUUAAAGAAUUUCGGUAAGCGAUGGGGAUGCGUUCCAUUAGAUAGUUGGCGGGGUAACGGCCCACCAAGUCUACGAUGGAUAGGGGUUCUGAGAGGAAGGUCCCCCACAUUGGAACUGAGACACGGUCCAAACUCCUACGGGAGGCAGCAGUGAGGAAUAUUGGUCAAUGGACGAGAGUCUGAACCAGCCAAAAGUAGCGUGAAGGAUGACUGCCCUAUGGGUUGUAAACUUCUUUUAUAAGGGAAUAAAGUGAGGGACGUGUCCCUUUUUGUAUGUACCUUAUGAAUAAGGAUCGGCUAACUCCGUGCCAGCCGCCGC
rnacentral:rRNA from 1 species